GAAAUCAGCUGUGUUGUGUGUACAAUUAUCACAUAUACAGCAGUGAUGCAAGAUGGCCUCCAUGCCAUUAGCAGCUAGCUGUUACUGAACAAAAGAAGAAUUCAUUCAGAAGUUCUACUCUAUGGUUUAAGAAAAGACCAAAGCUUAUUGUCACACUAAUCCGAUCAUCAGGGCAUGAAUGUAUCACCACCCAAUACUGUUUGUUAAUGGACACUAUCUAGGGGAAUAUCAUUUCCAGAUCAGCAGCAUUCCAUUCUCUGAGGUUUCAGGGCCAAAAAGUGAGAUCUGAGGGAUGAUCCUGGCGAUUUCCCAAAACUGGGUACUCGAGAUGCCAUGGGAUAGGGCAGACAGAAGUUCUGAGGGAAUCCACAACAAUCUUUUGGCCA